AAAAAAGCCAAAUAAAUUUAAAGUUGAAGAGCAUUGAGGAUCAAUAAUUCCUAAAAGUUGUGCCAAAUAUGGCUAAGGUAAUCUACUCCUGGGGUAAGAAAAUCCUAAGUUUUUCGAAAAAUUCAAAGUUUUGUAAACAGAAAAUUUAAGGCUUUUCUACCUCAGGCAUAGAUUACCUUUAACUGGAUUUGGCAAAAUUUAAAGAAUUUUGGUCUUCAAUGCUCUUCAACUUCGUACUUUAUUUGGCCUUUUUAACUUUUUUGGAUUCGAGCGUCACUGAUGAGUCUUUUGUAGACGAAACGCGCGUCUGGCGUAUAUACAAAAUGUAGUCCUGGUAUCUAUGAUGAGU
rnacentral:lncRNA from 1 species